rnacentral:rRNA from 1 species
ACCUUUCAAGCGAGUGGCGAACGGGUGAGUAACACGUGGAUAACCUGCCUCAAGGCUCCCCAUAACAUUUGGAAACAGAUGCUAAUACCGAAUAAAACUUAGUAUGGCAUGAUACAAAGUUAAAAGGCGCUACGGCGUCACCUAGAGAUGGAUGGGCGGUGCAUUAGUUAGUUGGUGGGGUAAAGGCUUACCAAGACGAUGAUGCAUAGGCGAGUUGAGAGACUGAUCGGCCACAUUGGGACUGAGACACGGCCCAAACUCCUACGGGAGGCUGCAGUAGGGAAUCAACCACAAUGGGCGCAAGCCUGAUGGAGCAACGCCGCGUGUGUGAUGAAGGCUUUCGGGUCGUUUAGCACUGUUGUAUGGGAAGAAAUGCUAAAAUAGGGAAUGAUUUAAGUUUGUCGGUACCAUACCAGAAAGGGACGGCUAAAUACGUGCCAGCAGCCGCGGUAAUACGUAUGUCCCGAGCGUUAUCCGGAUUUAUUGGGCGUAUUGCGAGCGCAGACGGUUGAUUAAGUCUGAUGUGAAAGCCCGGAGCUCAACUCCGGAAUGGCAUUGGAAACUGGAAAACUUGAGUGUUGUAGAGGUAAGUGGAACUCCAUGUGUAGCGGUGGAAUGCGUAGAUAUAUGGAAGAACACCAGUGGCGAAGGCGGCUUACUGGACAACAACUGACGUUGAGGCUCGAAAGUGUGGGUAGCAAACAGGAUUAGAUACCCUGGUAGUCCACACCGUAAACGAUGAAUACUAGGUGUUAGGAGGUUUCCGCCUCUUAGUGCCGAAGCUAACGCAUUAAGUAUUCCGCCUGGGGAGUACGACCGCAAGGUUGAAACUCAAAGGAAUUGACGGGGACCCGCACAAGCGGUGGAGCAUGUGGUUUAAUUCGAAGCAACGCGAAGAACCUUACCAGGUCUUGACAUCCUUUGAAGCUUUUAGAGAUAGAAGUGUUCUCUUCGGAGACAAAGUGACAGGUGGUGCAUGGUCGUCGUCAGCUCGUGUCGUGAGAUGUUGGGUUAAGUCCCGCAACGAGCGCAACCCUUAUUGUUAGUUGCCAGCAUUCAGUUGGGCACUCUAGCGAGACUGCCGGUGACAAACCGGAGGAAGGCGGGGACGACGUCAGAUCAUCAUGCCCCUUAUGACCUGGGCUACACACGUGCUACAAUGGCGUAUACAACGAGUUGCCAACCUGCGAAGGUGAGCUAAUCUCUUAAAGUACGUCUCAG